rnacentral:rRNA from 1 species
UGGGUGCGAUCAUACCAGCACUAAA